rnacentral:rRNA from 1 species
UACGAAGGGGGCUAGCGUUGCUCGGAAUCACUGGGCGUAAAGGGCGCGUAGGCGGCCAUUCAAGUCGGAGGUGAAAGCCCAGGGCUCAACCCUGGAAUUGCCUUCGAUACUGUUUGGCUAGAGACCGGAAGAGGUAAGUGGAACUGCGAGUGUAGAGGUGAAAUUCGUAGAUAUUCGCAAGAACACCAGUGGCGAAGGCGGCUUACUGGUCCGGUUCUGACGCUGAGGCGCGAAAGCCAGGGGAGCAAACGGG